rnacentral:rRNA from 1 species
CGGUUGUGCGGCAGGCUACACAUGCAAGUCGAGCGGAUGAGAGGAGCUUGCUCCUUGAUUUAGCGGCGGACGGGUGAGUAAUGCCUAGGAAUCUGCCUGGUAGUGGGGGAUAACGUCCGGAAACGGGCGCUAAUACCGCAUACGUCCUACGGGAGAAAGCAGGGGACCUUCGGGCCUUGCGCUAUCAGAUGAACCUAGGUCGGAUUAGCUAGUUGGUGAGGUAAUGGCUCACCAAGGCGACGAUCCGUAACUGGUCUGAGAGGAUGAUCAGUCACACUGGAACUGAGACACGGUCCAGACUCCUACGGGAGGCAGCAGUGGGGAAUAUUGGACAAUGGGCGAAAGCCUGAUCCAGCCAUGCCGCGUGUGUGAAGAAGGUCUUCGGAUUGUAAAGCACUUUAAGUUGGGAGGAAGGGCAGUAAGUUAAUACCUUGCUGUUUUGACGUUACCGACAGAAUAAGCACCGGCUAACUUCGUGCCAGCAGCCGCGGUAAUACGAAGGGUGCAAGCGUUAAUCGGAAUUACUGGGCGUAAAGCGCGCGUAGGUGGUUCGUUAAGUUGGAUGUGAAAGCCCCGGGCUCAACCUGGGAACUGCAUCCAAAACUGGCGAGCUAGAGUACGGUAGAGGGUGGUGGAAUUUCCUGUGUAGCGGUGAAAUGCGUAGAUAUAGGAAGGAACACCAGUGGCGAAGGCGACCACCUGGACUGAUACUGACACUGAGGUGCGAAAGCGUGGGGAGCAAACAGGAUUAGAUACCCUGGUAGUCCACGCCGUAAACGAUGUCAACUAGCCGUUGGGUUCCUUGAGAGCUUAGUGGCGCAGCUAACGCAUUAAGUUGACCGCCUGGGGAGUACGGCCGCAAGGUUAAAACUCAAAUGAAUUGACGGGGGCCCGCACAAGCGGUGGAGCAUGUGGUUUAUUCGAGCAACGCGAGACCUUACCUGGCUUGACAUGCUGAGACUUUCCAGAGAUGAUUGUGCUUCGGAACUCAGAACACAGUGCUGCAUGGCUGUCGUCAGCU